GCUCAUUUCUUUUCUUCUUCUCUCUAUACGUUGGUGUUCUAACCAAUAAUCACUCGAUCGCUAUUACGAUUCAUUUCCGGGAUCAAUAUAUCCAAGGAAUGUCUAAGUGCCGCCCACAUUGGGUUAUGCUUUGUCGUUGUCGAUAAUUCGAUAAUGAGUUGAAGCAUUGUACUUUGUCGUUGUCGAUAAUUCGAUAAUGAGUUGAAGUACUAUACUUUGUCGUUUGUCAUUUUGAUAAAUGAGUUGAAGUAUUGCACUUGGUCAUUCAUUGUGAGAAUUUGAUCUCGGGAAAUUAUCGUAACUGCUGUAUUGAUCAUUAACCCGAUUUUUGUGAAAUUCGUUAAGGUUCGAAUCUCAUGACUACCGUUAAGGUUUGAUUUGGGUUUUACACCAAUACGUAUUCCAUUCUGUUAAACUAUGUAUUUAACUACCAAGAAUACUCCCAACUACACCCUUACAAUCAAACAAACUAUUAAAUCAUCAGAAAAUCCAGAAUAAUAAAGUGCAUGCCUAAGUAUCGGAAGAAGUAGAAUCAGGAAGUUUGUUAACUCAAUCCUGCAUGCUGAUUUGUGAGUUAUUCUCUUUUUAUAAAUUCUUUUAUCACAGUUUGUGACUAUUUACAAUACUCUAAAUUAUUUUUAGAAUUAUAACUUACAGUGAUUAAGUUUAUGUGAAUCACCAAAUUACAGCCGGUAUGUGGGGUAUUGUGCACAUUACUUGAUAAUCGUCACCAUUGGGGCAGCCAUUGGGUGAUAUGACCAUAAUCACAGAUACCAUUGGACGUAAGGGCCAAUGGAUCGAGUGGUAAAGUACUGUGGGUAGUUGGUUGAUAUCAGGAAACAUUGUAAAAGAUCUUAUCACUGUGAAUUAUAAUAAAUGUGUAAUUACAAUAGAUUGGAGUAAGGAUUGGAUCCGACACUGAAGGACUUCAAGAAGUGGCUUAUUUUCAAAUUAAGAAAUAUUAUUUUUAUUAAAAGCUACCCUUGUAAAACAUGGAAUUUAUUCCAUCUUUUUAAAUAAAAUCCGGUGUUUCUAAACUCUGAUAUUUUUCCUAACUCACGGUCCUGAUGAAAUUUCCGCUGCAAUGUUUUUCAAAAUAAUCACCGGUACCACUGGACUGCUCACGACACCGAUUCCGGCUAGAUGGGGUGGGGGGUCGUGACAGAAGGUGGUAUCAGAGCUAAGCCACUGCUUUAAGCCUAUAAGUGUUGUGAUAACAAUACUUAAUCUUAAAUAAAAGAGUUAGGAGAUUACUAUUAACUUAACUGGUAGCACAUCUGAUAGCAUUUAGACUUGAACAUAAGAAAAGAUGCCUUAGUAUAAGCUAAGCCACUUGUUUACGCAAAUAGGUGUUAUAAUAAUACCUAAGCUUAAACGGAAAAUUAGAAUCUUAAUAUUAUCUGAUAACAUUCUGAAUGAUAUUUAGACUUGAACUUAAGAAUUUUGCCUUAAAAUAAACUUUAAGGUAAAUUACUUAUAUAAGUAUAAUGUAAUGAAUACUGGUAUGUCAUAAGAAUGACGGUUAGCAUGCAAUAGCACUUAAUUACUAUUUAUUCUUGCUUAUUGAUAUUAUUUGGUCUAGAAUAAGAUAUGUUAUGGGAAUACAAAUUUCUUUGAUUCUGAAUAAAAGUCCUAAUAAAAGAGGCACUUUUAAAAAUCUUGAAAACAUACUAUUUAUGGGAAAUAAGAAAUUCUCUCCGGCAAAACUGGGUAUAGAGUAGCAGACUCUCCAGCUUGUCCGGAUAUACUGAAAUUACCGCUCCGGCGUGAACCGGAUAAGACGGGAUAAAUGAUAUGUCAAUCCAGUAACAAGAUUUUCCCUAAAUAGUAUCAUGACCAAAUAUCUGACUGGUUUUUGGAAAUAUGAAUCUAUUAUAUACAUUUAACCCUAUGAAAGGUAUGUAUAUUACGGCAUGUGAAUUAUAUGAUUAUAUAGAUAUGUAUAUCUAUAAGAAAUUUCAAAAACCAUAACGAUUGAUAAUUGAGAAUAAAGGCACAAGCAUAUGUAUAUAGAUUUCUUUAUCAGGAAUCUCUGGCAUAUAUAUCUUUAAUUUCGAUGUCAAACAUUCUUUCGUUUGAUCAUCUACCUCGUAACU
rnacentral:lncRNA from 1 species